rnacentral:rRNA from 1 species
UCCUUCUGGUGCCUUCUUUCUCUUGAUUUACUGGGUGUAAAGGGAGCGUAGACGGAUGGACAAGUCUGAUGUGAAAGACUGGGGCUCAACCCCGGGACUGCAUUGGAAACUGCCCGUCUUGAGUGCCGGAGAGGUAAGCGGAAUUCCUAGUGUAGCGGUGAAAUGCGUAGAUAUUAGGAGGAACACCAGUGGCGAAGGCGGCUUACUGGACGGUAACUGACGUUGAGGCUCGAAAGCGUGGGGAGCAAACAGG